rnacentral:sRNA from 1 species
GCAGAGCGUGGUGGCGCACACCUGUAAUCCCAGCAGCUCAGGAGGCCAAGGCAGGAGGAUCGUGAGUUGAUCCUCAGUAAAAGCAAGGCACUGAGCAACUCAGUGAGAUCCUGUCUCUA